rnacentral:rRNA from 1 species
GAUGAACGCUGGCGGCGUGCUUAACACAUGCAAGUCGAACGGUGAAGGCGGAGCUUGCUCUGCUGGAUCAGUGGCGAACGGGUGAGUAACACGUGAGCAAUCUGCCCCUGACUCUGGGAUAAGCGCUGGAAACGGCGUCUAAUACUGGAUACGAGCUGCGAAGGCAUCUUCAGCAGCUGGAAAGAACUUCGGUCAGGGAUGAGCUCGCGGCCUACCAGCUUGUUGGUGAGGUAACGGCUCACCAAGGCGUCGACGGGUAGCCGGCCUGAGAGGGUGACCGGCCACACUGGGACUGAGAGACGGCGCAGACUCCUACGGGAGGCAGCAGGGGGGAAUAUUGCACAAUGGGCGAAAGCCUGAUGCAGCAACGCCGCGUGAGGGACGACGGCCUUCGGGUUGUAAACCUCUUUUAGCAGGGAAGAAGCGAAAGUGACGGUACCUGCAGAAAAAGCGCCGGCUAACUACGUG